rnacentral:rRNA from 1 species
CCUACGGGUGGCAGCAGUCGAGAAUCAUUCACAAUGGGGGAAACCCUGAUGGUGCGACGCCGCGUGGGGGAAUGAAGGUCUUCGGAUUGUAAACUCCUGUCAUGUGGGAGCAAAUUAAAAAGAUAGUACCACAAGAGGAAGAGACGGCUAACUCUGUGCCAGCAGCCGCGGUAAUACAGAGGUCUCAAGCGUGGUUCGGAAUCACUGGGCGUAAAGCGUGCGUAGGCUGUUUCGUAAGUGGGGUGUGAAAGGCGCGGGCUCAACCCGCGGACGGCACAUGAUACUGCGAGACUAGAGUGAUGGAGGGGGAAGCGGAAUUCUCGGUGUAGCAGUGAAAUGCGUAGAUAUCGAGAGGAACACUGGUGGCGAAGGCGGGUUCCUGGACAUUAACUGACGCUGAGGCACGAAGGCGAGGGGAGCGAAAGGGAUUAGAUACCCGGGUAGUC